UACGUAGGGGGCAAGCGUUGUUCGGAAUUACUGGGCGUAAAGGGCGCGUAGGCGGCACGGCAAGUCAGGAGUGAAAGCCCUGGGCUCAACCCGGGAACUGCUUUUGAAACUGCCGAGCUAGAGUGCGGAAGGGGCAACUGGAAUUCCCAGUGUAGCGGUGAAAUGCGCAGAUAUCAGGAGGAACACCGGUGGCGAAGGCGGGUCUCUGGGCAACAACUGACGCUGAGGAGCGAAAGCGUGGGGAGCGAACAGG
rnacentral:rRNA from 1 species